rnacentral:rRNA from 1 species
GUCAAUGCCGCGUGUGGGAUAAGCCCCUCGGGGUGUAAACCACUGUCAGGGUCUAGGAACACAAUGACCAUACCCAAAGGAAGCACCGGCUAACUCUGUGCCAGCAGCCGCGGUAAUACAGAGGGUGCGAGCGUUAAUCGGAAUCACUGGGCUUAAAGGGUCCGUAGGCGGGACUGCAGGCGUCGAGUGAAAUACCACGGCUCAACCGUGGAACUGCUCGGCGAACCGCAGUUCUUGAGGCGAGUAGAGGCGAUCAGAACGAUAGGUGGAGCGGUGAAAUGCGUAGAUAUCUAUCGGAAUGCCGAAGGUGAAGACAGGUCGCUGGGCUCGUCCUGACGCUGAGGGACGAAAGCGUGGGGAGCAAACGGGAUUAGAUACCCCGGUAGUCCACGCCGUAAACAAUGCGCACUGGGUCGAGGAGGUUUGACGCCUUCUUGGCCGAAGCAAAAGUGUUAAGUGCGCCGCCUGGGGAGUACGGUCGCAAGGCUAAAACUCAAAGGAAUUGACGGGGGCUCACACAAGCGGUGGAGCAUGUGGCUUAAUUCGAAAGCAACGCGAAGAACCUUAUCCCAGGCUUGACAUCUUAGUAUUA